rnacentral:rRNA from 1 species
UACGAAGGGGGCUAGCGUUGCUCGGAAUUACUGGGCGUAAAGCGCACGUAGGCGGUCUUUUAAGUCGGGGGUGAAAUCCUGGAGCUCAACUCCAGAACUGCCUUCGAUACUGAAAGACUUGAGUUCGGGAGAGGUGAGUGGAACUGCGAGUGUAGAGGUGAAAUUCGUAGAUAUUCGCAAGAACACCAGUGGCGAAGGCGGCUCACUGGCCCGAUACUGACGCUGAGGUGCGAAAGCAUGGGGAGCGAACAGG